rnacentral:rRNA from 1 species
AGGUGCCAGUAAACAGCCUGAGCACUCCUGAUGUCCUCUGAGCUCAGAAGCUAGGCAGGGUCAGGCCUGGAUUGUACUGCAUGAGAGACCAUCAGGGAAUACCGAUUGCCAUUUG